rnacentral:sRNA from 1 species
ACUCAACAUUAUUUCUUUAAAAAGGGUGAGUUUGAACUGUAAAAGCGAGCUGCUAGUGCUGCCUGUGCUGAAUUUAUUCAGUAACGCAGUAUCUCGGGCAGAUACUUGAUCCGUUUGUUAGCCCUAAACUUGUUUAAAGGAGUUU